GAUGAACGCUGGCGGCGUGCUUAACACAUGCAAGUCGAACGAGAAAUGGAGACGGAAACCUUCGGGCGGAAGGCUUCAUUUCGAGUGGCGGACGGGUGAGUAACGCGUGGGUAACCUGCCUCAUACAGGGGGAUAACAGUUGGAAACGACUGUUAAUACCGCAUAAGACCACAGCACCGCAUGGUGCGGGGGUAAACAUUCCGGUGGUAUGAGAUGGACCCGCGUUCGAUUAGCCAGUUGGCGGGGUAACGGCCCACCAAAGCGACGAUCGAUAGCCGAUCUGAGAGGAUGACCGGCCACAUUGGGACUGAGACACGGCCCAAACUCCUACGGGAGGCAGCAGUGGGGAAUAUUGCACAAUGGGGGAAACCCUGAUGCAGCGACGCCGCGUGAGUGAAGAAGUACUUCGGUAUGUAAAGCUCUAUCAGCAGGGAAGAAAAUGACGGUACCUGAGUAAGAAGCCCCGGCUAACUACGUG
rnacentral:rRNA from 1 species